GUUUUCAUACCUGAGCACAGGCAGCGGCCGGAGUCGAGAUGCUCCCAUGGGCGGCCACGGCGUCACCCGCCGCCACUCCGGCCACCUUCGCCAUCUCCUUAGCUAGUCUCCUCCGCGCCGCCUAUCCCCGCCCUCCACGGCCUCCCUUCCGCCCCCUCCCGCUGCUGCUGCGUGCGGGCCUCAGGGCCCCACCGCGCGCCGCCUCUUCCAACGGCGACGUCUUCUGGGAGGAGCCGGACGACGGGUCCGGGAGCGACUAUGAGGACGAAGUGGAGGAGGAGAACGAGCGGAGGAGGAGCUCACGUUCCCCGUCCCCCUCGCCGCUCUCCAGGCUGGAGGCGGCGCGGCAGCAAGAACAGGAGCUCCGAAGAGAAAUCGAGCUCCUCUUGACGCCAGAAGAGAAGGCUAUCUUGGAUCAACACGAGACCCCUGAUGUCACUAAAAUAUCAUCACCGAAAUGGCAUCCGCUUCAUAGUUAUGCGUUGGCGCUGCAGAUACCUCUCAUGGACAGGCUCCUUGACAGUGGAGUUGACAUCAAUUUACUUGAUAAAGAUGGCUUCACCCCCCUUCACAAGGCAAUCAUAGGCAAGAAAGAGGCUGUCAUUAGCCAUCUCCUAAGAAAAGGGGCAAAUCCCCAUGUUAGAGAUAGGGAUGGAGCCACACCAUUACAUUAUGCUGUUCAAGCUGGUGCCCUGCAAACCGUGAAGUUACUGAUUAAGUACAAGGUUGACGUCAAUGUUGCUGAUAAUGAUGGAUGGACACCGCUACAUUUAGCCAUACAGAGUAGAAAUAGAGAUAUAGUAAAGGUCUUGCUUGUCAACGGUGCGGAUAGGACAAGAAGAACCAAGGAUGGAAGGACUGCAUUGGAUCUAAGCUUAUGUUUUGGAAGGGAUUUCAAGUCGUAUGAUCUUGCAAAGCUUGUAAAACUUAUUCCAGCAAACAGAGUGUGAUUUUGCUGUGCCACAUAUCUGAGUGAAAUAAAGAGCAAAUGCUAGCCAUUGAAGCUAAGACAGGUAACAGGUAAAAGCAACAAGAAUGGAAUUAUAGACAAAAUUUCCCCGCAUGCUCUGGGCUCCAGGCGGUCUGACAGAUUCGCUCUGCAGUUGCUCUAUUGGAAUUUGGAAGUGCAAUGGUCUUUACUCUGAAGUAGUCUGUUCGUCAUGACUCAAAAGUAAACUACGGCCAUACAUGAAAUCAAUUUCUCAGUGA